rnacentral:rRNA from 1 species
AGCGAACGCUGGCGGCAGGCUUAACACAUGCAAGUCGAACGCAUCCUUCGGGGUGAGUGGCAGACGGGUGAGUAACACGUGGGAACGUACCCUUCGAUCUGGGAUAACUUCGGGAAACUGGAGCUAAUACCGGAUACGCCCUUUUGGGGAAAGGUUUACUGUCGAAGGAUCGGCCCGCGUCUGAUUAGCUAGUUGGUGGGGUAACGGCCUACCAAGGCGACGAUCAGUAGCUGGUCUGAGAGGAUGAUCAGCCACACCGGGACUGAGACACGGCCCAGACUCCUACGGGAGGCAGCAGUGGGGAAUAUUGGACAAUGGGCGCAAGCCUGAUCCAGCCAUGCCGCGUGAGUGAUGAAGGCCUUAGGGUUGUAAAGCUCUUUUGUCCGGGACGAUAAUGACGGUACCGGAAGAAUAAGCCCCGGCUAACUUCGUG